AGCAGCCCCAGUUACCAGGCGCCCCGCGGGUCACUAGGAGCCGGUUGCUAAGGCUUUGUUGCCGUCCACCAAUUGCUGUUCAGGAAACGGGGCCCUCGGCCCAGGGGAGCGGGCGGGGCCUGUAGGCCAGAAACUUAUGAAUGAAACGGCGGGGUUGAGAGUGGACAUCGCCAAAGGCGCUGUCGCGGCCUCGGAGGCUAGGAUGUGCUGGCGCCCCCUUUCUUUUCUGCACCCUCUAAGUCUUGUCCCACUCCAGAUUUCUUUUCUCUCUCUCUCUCAUUCUCUUUCUUUCUCGCCCACUCACCCAUGCUCUUCUAAACUCUUGUAGGGCGCGCGCGCGCGCACACACACACACACACACACACACACACACUCGUAAAAACCUCAGAUCUCCGUGCCCUGCCUCGCCUCUAGCUAACAUUUCAGCCACCCCCCACGCCCAACACUGAGGGGGUCUGCAUCUUUAUAAAAAAUACAAUUGAAAAAGAAGCACCAGCUCCUAGCUCACAGUACAUGUAUUGGUUUCCUCUACACAUACCAGACUCUGAUAUAACUUGUACUUUGUUCUCACGGGACAAAAAGUUUCCCAUCUGGUUCUCCACGCCCUCUCAUCUGGGCCGCCAAUGUGAGCGCAAAAGCAUCACAGAUGCCUAAUCUUUACAGUGCUCCGGUCCCGGAGGGGCGGGGCGAGACCGCUGAGCCAGCCUGGGCGGGCGCGGAGGGAACAGGAGAGAGAGGAGAGUCCACUGGUCCAAGGAGGAAGGUUAACACAAAGGAAUUUCUUUACAUAGUCUCAGCUGAAGCGCUCCAGGCAGGAGUCCCGCUAAAAGAGGCCAUUGACUUGUCUCUGCGAGGCUCUACGUACUGUUUGAACAACUUGAACGCUGGGCGUCCUAAGGCUGUACCUAAUCAGAGUGCAGUCCCUUCCAUACGAAAAUGGCGCUACAGACCGACUAUCCGAAGAGCAUGCGCUCUGAGAGGUCUCUCCAGAAACAGCAAGAAACUUGUGGCGGCGUUUUCCUUCGCAGUCGCUUGUUGACCUCUAGGGAGAAAGGGGGCGCACCCGUGCAGAGCUGACUGAGGGAACCAGCCCUUCGAGGGCCAAUUGCAGGUUUUGUUUGUGGUUUUUUUUUUUUUAAUGUGUGUUUUGUUUUAGACAGGGUCUCGCUCUGUCACCCAGGCCGGAGUGCGGUGGCUCAAUCUCUGCUCACUGCAAUCUCCACCUCCCGAGUACAAGCGAUUCUCGUGCCUCAUUCUCCCAAAUAGUUGGAUCUACAGGCGUGCGCCACCACACCCGGCUAAUUUUUGUAUUUUUUGUAGAGACCGGGUUUUGCCAUGUUGGCCAGGCUCGUCUCCAGUUCCUGAGCACAAGCAAUCCGCCCUGCCUUGGCCUGCCACAGCGCUGGGAUUACAGGCUGAGCCACCGCGCCAGGCCUCAAAUUAUUUUAUUGAAAAAAAAUCUAGUAUUUCUUAUAUGAAAGAUAGGGAAAAACAAAGUAUAUGAAUCUCUCGAUAAACUUGCCCACUUUGUUUAAAAGGCUAAAUAAAUCCAAAGAUGUUGUUGUAUUUCCGAAGAUGCUGAUUUAAAAUUCUUGCAUAAUCUAAAUUCAAAUUCCCCAACAAUUUUUCAUUAAAAAGUGCGUUAGAAAUAGAAGUCAGAGUUCUCAUUCAGUUCAUAAACUUUUAAUUGCACAAAGUAAAUAGUCUAAUGAACUCCAAUCUACACUUUCAGAGAAGCCAGAUAUAGUUGAACACCUUCUUGUUAUUUUCCAAAAUGAAUUUACAAAAAUCUUUUAUAUAACUCUCCUGCUUAAAAUUGUGAUCAUGAGGAAUGAAUUAUGACCUAACAAAUACAAGUCCUUAAAUUCAAAUGAAAAUGUUUAUUUUUCCUUAGCAUUUUUACAAAGAUAAUAAAACUCUGUAAGUAAUUAAUGUUUUUUAAAAUAUUGCAUGGGGCUGGUCAUGGUGGCUCACACCUGUAAUUACAGCAC
rnacentral:lncRNA from 10 species